rnacentral:rRNA from 1 species
UGGGGAAUUUUGCGCAAUGGGGGAAACCCUGACGCAGCAACGCCGCGUGGAGGAUGAAGUCCUUCGGGACGUAAACUCCUUUCGAUCGGGACGAUAAUGACGGUACCGGAAGAAGAAGCCCCGGCUAACUUCGUGCCAGCAGCCGCGGUAAUCCGAGGGGGGCGAGCGUUGUUCGGAAUUAUUGGGCGUAAAGGGUGCGUAGGCGGUUUGGUAAGUCUUAUGUGAAAUCUAUGGGCUCAACUCAUAGACUGCAUGAGAAACUGCCGGGCUUGAGUAUGGGAGAGGUGAGUGGAAUUCCUGGUGUAGCGGUGAAAUGCGUAGAUAUCAGGAGGAACACCUGUGGCGAAAGCGGCUCACUGGACCAUAACUGACGCUGAUGCACGAAAGCUAGGGGAGCAAAC